UAAAAAUACCUAACCUUCAAAACCCCUAAUUGAAAUCUCCCAAAAUCUUUCUAUUGUCACUGCCAGACCAACCACCUUCGUGAGCCUCUGGCAUCUACUAGAUCACCAUCACCGGCGAGUUGAGGUAGGUUUGUACUCUUGAAAAUUUGGGCACUAUUUAACUGCUUGCUUAUUCUACCAUGUCACCAUUUUUAUCUCAGUUUCUUUGUAAAAAGCUCAUGGUACAGUAAAAAAAACCAAAAAAGGCUUAAACCUAGUAAGACAUUUGUUGAAAUAUUAGCACUAUGAGAAUGGAGAUGAUAGCAGAUAAAAGACAAAGAAAGCCAGAUGUAAAAGGUAGUUGUCAAUUUCUAAGGUUUUUUUUUUUUUGGUUCAAACAAUUCCUAAGUUUCUGUAUCUUUUAAGUAAAAUAAAAAGAAAUAUCUCAAUCGUUCAAAACAAAGGUUCAGGUAAUUUGGUUCGCCAGGUUAAAAAUCUUGACUUGCAAAGCAAAGCACAGCCAUUGAAACCAAUUAAGUCUUUAAUACUAUAAAACAAAACAUUAACACUGAAGCAAACUAACUAAGAAACUACAGUUAUUAACAUAUUGAAUAUCUCUUAAGCCGAUAAAUAACGAAAGCAAAUUAUUUAUUUUAUUUUAUUUUGUCACGAUUCCAUUUUUGAAAUGUUAUAGUUCAUUGUUUGGAAUCAUGGAAUAUUUUAAGCUGUGGAUUGCCUACUAAUCUCCUUCAUACACAUUCCUUGAACCUACAAUCUUGAUAUCCUUAAUGUCAACUGUUUGGAUAAUCUAUAUUGUUCAAGUGCAAGUUUGAAGUUGUAAGUUAUAUGGCUUCUUUCAACCCCUCUUAUCCUAUCCACAUCUUUUAAAAUGAAGCAGUGAAGCUUUGAACAAUAUAGAUUGUCUAUCAUAAAUUUUAAAUGACUACAGUUCUUUGACUUAGCUGCUUUGACGCUAACUAAUCAUAUGGUGUUAUUACAUGUUGGAAAUUAAGGGAAUUUGCAUAAGAUAUAGUUCCAAACUUAGAACUCUGAACUUAACAGAGAAUGGAUGUGAUUCUUUAUGAUGCUAUGAGAAAUUUUCUUAGGGUGUUCCAAAUUUAUUUUGUCCAUUUGCAUGAAGCAUGAUUAUAAUGAACCAAAAAGGUUAAGGGAUUCUCUUAUACCUCUCCACUUGCAAAUACUUAUAGAAAUAAAAGUAUUAUAGAUUAAUGGCUAUUGUGCAAGCUUUGAACUCUUUUGGUUAACAAAUUAUAGUCAAAACACAUCUGUCCUAUGGUUCUUUUGUUGAAACUCCAUUGAUUAAUGGUAAUUGCAAGCUUUCAAGUUUCAAAUUAAUGGGUAGUGGAAUUAUCGCUUGACUGCUAAAUGUUGAAGGUUCCCUAGUGGAAAUCAUAAAUAAUUAAACAAUCUCUAUGGCUGUUUCAUUUUCUGUAUUAUUGUUGGUUUUCCUGGUUGUGUGGUCUGCUUUUGACUGUGGUUAUGUUUGUUUGGCUUGAUGUUGCUACUCUCUUGGUUUGUAUGAUUCUCCUCUAUUUUGGACUUUCUUUUUAGGUUUAAUACUCAUUUUGACCCUGAACUAUGUUUGUUCUCUCACUUUGGUAACUAAUUUUUUUUAUUUUAGAUUAGUACUUAAACUAUCAUUAUGUUAUCCCAUUCACCUUUUUUUGAACGGUGUUUAAAAAAUCAACUGUUACAAAGUGUCAAUAAAAAUGUGACAUAUUAAACCUUUCAAUAAAUCCAAAUAUGUCACAAAAAUUUCUAUAGCUUAGUUACAUUAAUGCAAUAAUAUUCCACUACAGUUUGAGAGUGGAGCCUACUGCAACUGGUCUUAAAUAACUAAAUCAGAUGGAGCAGAAGGAAUCUUCCGUGCAUAUAUUCUUUUAAUUGUCAUAAUUUAUUUUAUAAAAAAUUACAUUCAGAACACAAGAAAAUCAUAAGCCACAUUUUCAUUCAAUCAACCUACAUUAAUGAUAAUUAAUUCCAAUUUUUGAAUGUUCGAAGCUAAUCAAAAUUCUAAUAAAAAAGUUCACAGUUUUUCUUGUGUCUUUUAAUUCUUCCUGCAUCAUCUGGAAUGUCACUGUUAUAACUUACAUAUAAGGCCUAGAAAGAUUAGAUGGUUAGAUGGAGUGUAAUGGUUGGUUAAAAGCAGAAUUUAUUUAUCUAAUACUCAACAUCAAAAUAUGUCUAAUAUUAUAAAUGUAUUUUAAUUUAUUAUAUAAUUUUUUUCUUGCAAAAUGUCCACUGAACCAACAUCUAUUGAGGGUAGUGUUACACCUCCUACUUCGAUAGACUCUGAAAAUUCGGGAGUUAGAGCUUCAAGCUAAACAAAUGGACUAUUAGGAAAUGAAAAGCCACUCCUCAAAGGUCAGAAGUUUGGUCUCACUUCACUAAGAUUAUUAAUAGUGAGGGUGCAAGUAAGGCUAAAUGUAAUUAUUGUCAAAAGGAAUGUUGUUGUGAUAUGAAAAAAAUGGUACAGGAUCAUUAAAAUAUCAUAUUGGUUCAUACAAGAAAAAUACUAGUAAUGUUGUUGAUACUACUCAAGGACAACUAGUUUUACCUAGAAAGGAAGUUGAAGGAGAGGAAGGGCAUAUUUUAACUUGGAGAUUUGAUCAAGAAGCAUGUAGGAAAGGAUUAGCACAAAUGAUUGUGAUUGAUAAAUUACCUUUCAAGUUUGUUGAAAGUGAAAGCUUUAAGAAAUUUAUGUUUGUGGCAUGUCCUAGGUUUCAUAUUCCUUCACGAACUACAAUGACUAGGGAUGUUUAUCAAUUGUAUUUAGAUGAAAGGGUCAAGAUAAAAACAACUUUUGAGAAGUUCUUGUUCUAGAGUUUGCUUAACUACUGACACAUGGACUUCUUUGCAAAGAGUUAAUUAUUUGUGUAUCACUGCUCGCUUUAUUAAUAACGAUUGGAAAUUGAAUAAAAAGAUUUUAAACUUUUGUCCAAUUUCUAGUCAUAAGGGUGAGUCCAUUGAGAUGGUGAUUGAAGAGUGCUUGUUGAAUUAAGGGAUUGAUAAGUUAUUUAUUGUUACUGUUGAUAAUGCAAGUUCAAAUGAUAUUGCUAUUGGUUAUUUGAGAAAGAAAUUUAACCCUCAAAGGGGUUUAGUUCAAAAUGGUAAAUAUUUUCAUAUGAGAUGCACGUCACACAUUGUGAAUUUGAUUAUUAUUGAAGGCUUAAAGGAAAUGAAUAAAUCUGUUGAACGUGUUAGGAGGGAUGUUGGAUAUGUGAGACAAUCUUUAGAUAGAUUACAAAAGUUUAAGGGGUGGGUUGUGGUGGAAAAGAUAGAGUGCAAGAAGAUGUUGUAUCUUGAUGUUUGUACUAGGUGGAACUCGACCUACUUAAUGUUAGACAUUGCUCAGAACUUUGAGAGAGCUUUUGAAAGAUUUGAGGAGCAAGAUACAAACUUUGAGGCUGAACUUGAAAGUGGAGAGGGUUGGCCUAGUGUGGAUGAUUGGGCUAAUGUUAGAAACUUGAGGGAUUUCGUGGAACACUUUUAUGAAGUCACUUUGCGUAUAUCUGGCACUUCAUAUGUCACGUCCAAUAAUUUUUUUGACGAGUUUUCUGAAAUUGAUUUUCUUUUACGAGAUGCUCAAUUAAAUAAUAAUAUUGAUUUCAAUGUUAUGGCUAUCAAGAUGAAAGAGAAGUAUGAUAAGUAUUGGGGUGAUAUUGAUAAAAUGAAUUUGCUUAUGUUUGUUGCUUGUGUUUUAAAUCCUAGACAAAGACUAAAGUAUCUUGAAUUUGCACUUAGUGAAAUGUCUAGUUCUGAAAAAGCUUGUGAAAUGAUGCAAAAAUUGAAGGAAUCUUUGUAUGAAUUUUUUGAUGAGUAUAAGCCUCCACUUCAUUGUACUUGUAGCCAAUCGAGUAUGCCAACACAUGUUUCUCUCGUUGAACCACAACAAAAAAUGAAAAGGCGAAUGUAGGCUUUGUUUAAAAACCAUGAGUUGGAAAAUGGUGGUAAGGAUAAAACAUCUGAGUUGGAUAAAUAUCUAGCUGAGGCUAAUGAGGAAUUUGUUGAAGAUUUUGAUAUUUUGUGGUGGAAAGUGAACAACCCUAGAUUUCCCACUCUUUCAAAAAUGGCCAAAGAUGUGUUAGCUAUACCAGUUUCUACGGUUGCUUCAGAGUCUGCAUUUAGCACCAGGGGACGUGUGCUUGAUCAAUAUAGGAGUUCUUUAACUCCUAAAAUUGUACAAGCUCUUGUGUGUACUCAAGAUUGGAUUUGGAAAUCAUUAUUACAAGAAGACAUCAAAAAUAUUGAAGAACAAAUCCAAGAGCUUGACAAGAUUGAAAAUGAUAUAUUUAUUGUUUUAUUUUAAUAGUUUCAAUUUUUUUACCAUAUCACUCCUACUUAUUUAAUUGAUUCAAUGUUUAGACUAGCCAACAACAACCCAUAUGUCACGGCAUGAAUAUCAGAUUUAUUUCCUAGGUUCAAGCAGGAACUCUACUAUCUCUAUUAUCAACAUACCAUCUCAAUUUCACAAUCAAACAAUUCAUGCUAUAUUAACUUACAAUCUAUUCAUUUGUUUAUAUUAUUUAAUUUUUUUAAAUGCGUAUAUUUCUAUUAUAUGCUAAUUUUUUGCACAUGUUUUUUUGUCGGUUUAAUGCAAAUGGAGAUCUUUUGGAGAGAAGAAAGGGAUACAAAUGAAGAAUAUUAAAGACUUAUAUUUCAAUUAUGUGUUAAUUUCAAGACUUAUAUAAUGUUUUUAAUUAUGUAGUGAUUCGGUACUUUAAUUCAGUUAAUUCGGUUGGUUUAGCUGAUUCGGUUACUUCGAUUAAUUCAGUUAAUUUUAUAUUUAUUUUAACCAAAAAUAAAAAAAAAACAUAUAAUUUUCGGUUAAUUCGAUUAAUGGUAUUUCGGGUCGGUUAACCGACUGAACACCCCUACCUUCAACCAACAUUGAGGAUAUUUUUGGCUCGGCACCUCUAGUCUCACAAUACCCCUUCACCUCCGAUGAUGGGGUAUACAAUUAUACAACUUUCUUAAGUACACUGGGAGGGACACCAGACGCCGGCUUGAGCAACUAUCAAACGCCUCUUCAAGGUGCACGCCCUUGCCAACGGAGGCUGCCCUAUCAUUAUACGCCGGCCCCGGGAUGUUGUAAGAUCUAGACAAGUUCGAUUUUUUUUUGUAGAUAUUAACUUUGUAAUUAUUCUUACAAUACAAAAAAUUUUAAAUUUUUAACUUAAUUAUUUC
rnacentral:lncRNA from 1 species